GAUGAAUUGGAGAGAAAAAGAGUAUAAUUAACAAUUAAAUGCUGUCCCUGACAAUGGAAGAGAGAUGUGAAGAUGUCCUCAUCGGCACAGAGUCAGUGAAUGGGAGUUCAUUAUCACUCAGUACAGGAGAGAGGCUCAAAUAAUAAAGGAAAAAGCCCGAAAGUACAUACACAGGCAGAUGCUUGCAACUAGAGCUCAGCUUCUUCUGUG
rnacentral:lncRNA from 12 species